GCCCAACUAUCUAUCCUCUUAGCCUUCUCGGCCUCCGAAUUAAUACUUUUCUACAUCGCAUCGAAGCAACUCUCAUCCCCACCCUCAUCCUCAUCACACGAUGAGGAAACCAACCAGAACGACUAAAUGCUGGAAUCUACCUCCCUAUUCUAUACCCUAGCCAGCUCACUCCCCCUACUAAUCGCCAUCCUACACCUACAAAACCAAAUCGGCACACUCUACCUCCCAAUACUAAAACUAUCACACCCCACAAUAAACUCCUCCUGAUCCGGAUUAAUCGCAAGCCUCGCCCUACUCCUCGCCUUCAUACGUUAAAGCCCCCCUAUACGGCCUACACCUAUGACUCCCCAAAGCCCACGUAGAAGCCCCAAUCGCUGGCUCUAUAUUACUAGCCGCCCUCCUCCUAAAACUAGGAGGCUACGGCAUUAUACGAAUCACAAUUCUAGUAAACCCAACAUCAAACAACCUACACUACCCAUUCAUCACCCUAGCCCUAUGAGGUGCACUAAUAACCAGCGCCAUCUGCCUACGACAAAUCGACCUAAAAUCACUAAUCGCCUACUCAUCCGUCAGCCACAUGGGAUUAGUCGUAGCCGCAACCAUAAUCCAAACCCAAUGAGCAUUCUCAGGGGCAAUAAUCCUAAUAAUCUCACACGGUCUAACCUCAUCAAUACUAUUCUGCCUAGCCAAUACCAACUACGAACGAACCCACAGCCGAAUUCUUCUCCUCACACGAGGACUCCAACCCCUCCUACCACUAAUAGCCAUUUGAUGACUUCUAGCAAACCUAACAAACAUAGCCCUCCCUCCAACAACAAACCUUAUAGCAGAACUAACCAUUGUCAUCGCACUAUUCAACUGAUCUGCUUUCACAAUCAUCCUAACAGGAGCAGCAAUCCUACUCACCGCCUCUUACACUCUCUACAUACUCAUAAUAACACAACGAGGCACACUUCCAUCCCACAUCACCUCAAUCCAAAACUCCACUACCCGAGAACACCU
rnacentral:lncRNA from 1 species